UAACAUUAGCCCAGUGGUGGCGCUGUUUCGUUUCUGGAAAGAAAAUCGACUUAAAGGAAGAAAAAAAUAAACAAAGAAGAGUUCCUGAAACGGAAACGGAAACAUGUAAAAGUUAUUUAAGGUGCGAUUUUUUAAAACACUUGGCUCAAUAAACGAGGGCGGGGUUUGAGGUGUUCCAUCUUCCCACGCCAACAUUCGACUCCGCACGCGCUACUGAGGCUCUUCCCGCCAAAUCGUGCAACAAAACGAGCGCUGAGCCAUAAUCGUUGGGAGGAGUUCUAUCUAUUUUCUUUUUCUGGCAACUGAAACUAACUACAAGCAAAACAUAACCGAAAGGAGAGCCCAGAGAGAGAUAAAUAACAGAUUUUUAACUAAGCCAAAGCAAAAAUGUCUUCCCUGAGUAACAAAUCUGCGCAGGAAAUCAGCGACCUGCUCGAUGAAUACGGAAUAAAGCACGGACCUGUGGUCGAAUCUACGAGAAACCUGUAUGAGAAGAAACUGAAAGAGGCCAUGGCCAAAGGCAAAAGAGCCAAACCAUCACCUGACAAAACCUACUACAGAGAAGAGGAGGAGGAAGUCACCUAUGUUUACAGGACACCCACCAGAAGUGAAGGCUCAGGUGACAGUGGGGCUUACGUGAGGUCCAGACCAGAGUGGAAUGAGAGAGAUUAUCAGCACGAGACAUCCUACUCGAGCUACUCAAAGUCCAAGCCUGAAUACAGCAAAAGCAAUUAUGGUAACGAACCCGACAUGUAUGACACUCCGUCCACUUACAGAAGCACCUACGCUAAAUCGCCACCCAUGAAAUCAGGUCAAGAUGUUCCAGAUGCACCAAAGUCAUCACGUCUGAUCCCACUGUGGGUUCAGUUUGUGUUCUUCCUGGCUGUGGCAGUCUUCCUCUACUUAGUUUUUUCCACUAUGGAGAUAAAUGAACCCCUUAAAGGGAUAAAAUGAUUUUUUUUUAAACCAUUAUUUCCUUAUAUUGAAUUUAAAGGAAUGCACAUGAUUAAAUGCAUGCAUUUUAGACAUUUUAUGCAAGAUUGUGUUUUUAACAGCAGUACAUUCUCUGCUUAUGCUUUUAGGCAAAAUGUUUAUUUGUCAUUGAGCUUCAGUACAUUACCACUACUCGAAUCAACCAGCCUGCCACUUUAAAACACACUAAAAUCUUCCUUUUUUUAUCUGGACACAAGCUGUCCCUCCAUCGGCACAGUUUCAAGUGAUCUGUCGUGGUUUUAAGAGAUGAUCGUCCACAGCUUAGUCCAAAUAUGGCCGCAGUUGACCAUAAAACAUCCAAAGAUUAUCACGCAAGAUUUUGAAGCUCAUAUUUUAAAGCUUCAGCUGAUUGUCUCCUUUUAGCCUCUGCAGUUCACAGUGAAUCUGUCUGCAUGACCAAAAUUUGGGUGGCAGGGUUUUUUUUUUUCUUAAAUAAACAUCAAACUUGUACAACAUGCAUACAUUUCUCAAUAUUUUCCAAAUGUUAGAUGCAUUUUUGACAGGCUAUUUCCCUCAAAACAAAAACUCGUGGCACUGCGUCAAGCCAACCUGCAUAUCCACUUAGUUAUUCAAUAUGUACCCUUUUUUCCCUCAUCAUACUUCUAGUAAUGCAGGUGUUUCGGAUUCAUUGUGUAUUUUUAAAUAUUUGUAGUUUACGGGUCCAACAAUGUUUCCAUUUUUCAGUUAUCAAGUAUAUUUUGGACAUUUUCAAACCAGCUGUAAUGCAAGUGCCUCUGUGUAUUUGGAGAUUUUAAAAAAAAAGUCUGGGUGGGGUUAAAAAUGUAAAAGGUGCACUAGACGAGCUGUUGCCCCCAGCGUUAUGAGUUGAUUCAGUAUAAUUAAGCUGGAUAUCAUAUUUUUGUACUACAUAAUCCAACUUUAACAUCAGCCGGGUUUGUUGUGAUUUGUUUUGUAUUCCUGUUUCAAAACUGUAACUAUUAAAAACUAAGCUUAUAUAUGUAAACAUUUAAAGCUUUAGGUGUUUUGUUUUUUAUUGUAGCCACUUUAUUGGGUACACCUAUUCACCUGCUUGGUAAAGCAAAUAUCUUAUCAGCCCAUAACAUGUUAGGUAGACGCCGACCUGCUGAAGAUCAAUCUGACCAUUAGAAU
ensembl:lncRNA